rnacentral:rRNA from 1 species
AUUGAACGCUGGCGGCAUGAUUUACACAUGCAAGUCGAACGGUAACAGGCCGCAAGGUGCUGACGAGUGGCGAACGGGUGCGUAAUGCAUCGGAACGUGCCCAGUCGUGGGGGAUAACUACUCGAAAGAGUAGCUAAUACCUCAUACGAUCUAUGGAUGAAAGCGGGGGACCGUAAGGCCUCGCGCGAUUGGAGCGGCCGAUGUCAGAUUAGGUAGUUGGUGGGGUAAAGGCUCACCAAGCCAACGAUCUGUAGCUGGUCUGAGAGGACGACCAGCCACACUGGGACUGAGACACGGCCCAGACUCCUACGGGAGGCAGCAGUGGGGAAUUUUGGACAAAGGGCGCAAGCCUGAUCCAGCAAUGCCGCGUGCAGGAAGAAGGCCUUCGGGUUGUAAAAUGCUUUUGUACGGAACGAAACGGCUCUGGUUAAUACCCGGGGCUAAUGACGGUACCGGAAGAAUAAGCACCGGCUAACUACGUG